rnacentral:rRNA from 1 species
ACUCCUGCGGGAGGCAGCAGUAGGGAAUCUUCCACAAUGGGUGCAAACCUGAUGGAGCAAUGCCGCGUGAGUGAAGAAGGUCUUCGGAUCGUAAAGCUCUGUUGUUAGAGAAGAACACGUGCUAGGUAACUACUAGCGCCUUGACGGUAUCUAACCAGAAAGUCACGGCUAACUACGUGCCAGCAGCCGCGGUAAUACGUAGGUGACAAGCGUUGUCCGGAUUUAUUGGGCGUAAAGGGAGCGCAGGCGGUCUGUUUAGUCUAAUGUGAAAGCCCACGGCUUAACCGUGGAACGGCAUUGGAAACUGACAGACUUGAAUGUAGAAGAGGAAAAUGGAAUUCCAAGUGUAGCGGUGGAAUGCGUAGAUAUUUGGAGGAACACCAGUGGCGAAGGCGAUUUUCUGGUCUAACAUUGACGCUGAGGCUCGAAAGCGUGGGGAGCGAACAGGAUUAGAUACCCUGGUAGUCCC